UUUAGUAUAUUAUUGACCAACAGAUGGAGGUGUUGUUAGAUCAAGCUAAAUAUGAAAGGAGGACAGCAGAACAUGCUCAACGGAUAGCUCAGGAGACAGAGUUAGUUGUGCAAAUACAAGAAGAAGAGCGUCGAGCAGUACUUAGUGGAAACAAGAAUAGAGUUUGAGGUGGAUGACCCCAUAUGAUCCCAGUAUACCAUUACUUACAACUAUAUAAGGAUUAUAAGAGGAUUUAGGGUAUGUUGAUACGACAUAGACUGGUGUCAUUAUUCCUCCAG
rnacentral:lncRNA from 1 species